UACAGAGGGUGCGAGCGUUAAUCGGAGUUACUGGGCGUAAAGGGCGCGUAGGCGGUCAUGUAAGUGAGAUGUGAAAGCCCUGGGCUUAACCUAGGAAUUGCAUUUUAAACUGUGUGACUAGAGUACAGUAGAGGGUGGCGGAAUUUCCGGUGUAGCGGUGAAAUGCGUAGAGAUCGGAAGGAACACCAGUGGCGAAGGCGGCCACCUGGACUGAUACUGACGCUGAAGCGCGAGAGCGUGGGGAGCAAACAGG
rnacentral:rRNA from 1 species